UGAACAUUCCAGUUAUUUCUAGCUUGGGGAUGUCGAUAAUGAAGCUGCUGGGGGAGCAUUCUUGUGCAUACACAUAGGGAGCAUGAGAAUUUGCUCAGCCUGCCUAGUUGAUGUCAAACAACUUAAUUUGAACACAUCUUGAAUCAAGUCCUAGGUUUAAUUGCAAAAUGAGCAAGCUUUGUUACUUGUUCCUUCAGGAAACACAAACCAAACUUCUAUGGUGGGAAUAGAAAAUAUGUGACACAGGCUGCCUCUCCUACCUCCUGUGCUCAGGGCAGACAUUACUAGUUCAUAAGGAUAUCCUUUCCUGUUAAGUCUGGGUGUGGCUUCAAAUUGUUUGCAACACGGUCCUCAAGGCAGCCACUGCUAAGGAUCAGAGAUGAGGGGGGCGUGAUGGUUAAUUUUCUGUGUCAGCUUGGUUAGGCCACAGUACCAGAUAUUUGGUCAAACAUAUUCAAGACAUUUCUCUGAAGGCAUUAUUUUAUUUGAGAUUAACAGUUAAAUCAGUAGACUUUAGUCAAGUGAAUAACCCUUCAUAAUGUGGAUGGGUGUCCACUAAUGAGUCGAAGACCUUAAUAGAAAAAAGACUGAAAAGAAAGAGGGAAUUCUGCCACCAGGCUGCCUUUGAACUCAAACUGCACGUCUUCCCUGGGUCUCCAGCCUAUGACCUACUCCCCCUGCAGAUUUUGGAAUUGCCAGCCUCCACAAUCCUGUCAGCCAAUUCCUUACCAUCUCUCUCUAUGUAUAGACACACAUCUUUUGGGCUCUCUCUGGAUAACACUUGACUAAUAACAGGUGGCAUACUAUUUGCAUAGGACUGUCUGGCGACGCAAGAACAGAGAGCCUCUUGAGCUAAUUUAAGGAAAAGAGAUUUUCUGUUGAUAGAGUGGAACCUCUUAGAAUCAAAUCCAGAAAGUACUUUUAAUAUUCAGUACUAUCCUCCUCAAUACCAAUCCAUUAUAAUGCUUUUAUAGCUGAGAUAUUUUCCAAAAUAAAACUGCGGUGGGUGUGCAUACAGUUUCUCCCCAGUUUCUGAGGGUCAUCAGUUGCUGUCAGCCGAUGAGAUCCAGAGCAAAGAAGCUACUCUGUUCUUAACACACAGUACUGGGCUGCUUCCAGCCAGUGAGCUGAGUUGAAUGUGUUUUGCCGUGUAUGUUGUUUAUUCUGCUCUGGUUCCCUUUCUGCCAUUGCUUUUGUGUCCUGGAAGUCAGUAUGACCCAGCUUGAUUGACCAAAGGAGCAUAGGUGAUAAUACUGGACCGACUGUAAAUCAAAGGCAGAGUAUCGUGCUGGAUGUUAGAAUACGGGUUUUCCAGAGGCUCUCGAUCCUCCAAGGCAUUGGCUCUAGCAGAGGGUCUAGCUUAGCGGGCCAGCGGGGAUCGGUGGGAGUCCUCUGACGUUGUGUAGGGCCUCAUACAGGCCAGUGCCGCUCAGAAGGAUUGACCAACAGGAGCCGGAAGAAAUUAUGGUGGGAGAAUGGAUGAGUGAUUGCCAGUGUGCAAACCUGGGUCAUGUCUCUAUGAGGACUGUGCCAGUGUGGGCUCCUACAGUCUGCUACUAAAGAGAGUGGGUGUGACGGCCAGGCCUCUGCUCCGUGUCUCUGUCUGUGACUGUGCUCUGCUUCUCUGCCACAUUCUCCCCACUGCAGGUCAGCCCCUCUGCCAGGUGCAUGCUCCCUGCAGCCCCAUCACUCAGGCUCUGUUUGGCUUUGGGUGACUGUAGGAGGUGGUGUGGAUGUCCUGCCCAGAUUCCCGGGCCCACCUUGGAGUUCACAUGUGAUGGUGGAAGAUGACCUCCCAGAGACUGAUGACUCCCCACCUGAAGCAUCCACAUCUCUGCACUUCUCCUGCACCAGUGGGCUUGCCAGGCAGCAGGCAUGUGCAGUCCCACCCAGUGGAGGAUUGGUGAUCUUCCUGACGGUCAAAGCUCCAUCAGCCUGAACCCCUGAGAGAAAAGGGUGGAAGAGAAGCUUCCCUUGCCUGGUUUCUGAAUGUGGCCUUGAAAAUGUCCACAGAACUAUUGUUGUCUUGUUGAGUCUGCGGCCAGGAAGGCAGGAAUCACUGCGGCAGAGCAGGUGUGAACGUCCGCCUACUUCAGAGGCAGCUCUCUUUGAAGCUGGAAAAUCAAGGACGCUGGUACCUUCAAGGAAACAAGGAUAUAAUUAUCGCAACACCCAAUUGGCCAGUGACCUUCCAUUCCUCAGGCCGGCCCUACUCCCUUCGCUGGCACCAGCCCAGGUCCUCACAGACUGAGCUCAGACGGAGGAGCGACCCGCUCCCGCGCCCUUUGAAAGCGUUCUUAAUCUCUUUCCACUGCGCGGGUCUUGCUGACAUAAAUCCGCCAGCCCAGGGGGCCUUUGAGCCCCCCACCGAGGGAGGCCCUUCAGGCCAAGUGGAGUCUGGGCAGCUAAGGCGCAGAAUUUAUGCUUCCUCUCACCUGCACCGUCUGUCUGUGGCCUCUACCCCAGUCUGUUUGUGAAGGUUUGAACAUGACCUCCUAGCUCCCCGCCAAAUCAGCCGGCAUCAUCACCUUGGCCACAGAGGCCGACUUCUCAAGGCCACUGGAAGCUAAUAACAGGGACUCUCAACUUCGUUAUUGUAUUUGAAAUGUUGAAAGCAGAAGCCUAAUAAAAUUAGUUCAGAAAAACAGAAA